AGUACGUUCAAUUAUUGACUCACAAAAGACGAUCCAUAUGGUGCAAAUGAUUGAAGAUGCAGUCACUCUGAAACCAGUUCAUGGAAUAACAAACUUUGUUCCCAUUUUAAACAGCAGGAGAAAUGGGACAAAAAAAAUAUAAGCCAUGAAAAGAAGCAGGGAGG